UUCUUUGAACAGGACAAUGCUGACUACAGAAAGGCAGGCAUUCAAUAUAUUUUAAUUAAACAUUCUGUGCUCUUUGCUUAGACUAGUUACUUUGAGAAAAAGAAUAAAUUAAAAACCAUAAUUAGUGGGUUAAAUCAAUCUUGAAUCCUCCAAAGAAAACCCUGAAUUGCUGCCAAAAAUGUAAGGCACUUCAGCUGUCUUCCCUGCCCUUACGCUGCAGUUGGCUUCCAAAAGGAAGAAGCGAGGAACCACUACGAAGUCUUAGAGUAUAAACCUAUUAUUACUGACCAUUUAAACUCAUUAACCAGGCUGAGAAUUUGGAAUGGCCAAAGCACAGACAUGCACUCCUCUCUGUUGCCAAAAUGUACCCUUGAUAAAGAGAUGGGGCAAACAAAACAAUGAUGUCCCUCGAGCAGAAUCCUCUGCUUUUCCACUGACACAGCUCUGAGUUAAGAGCACAGAUGCGCUGCAGCCCAUCUUCUUCUUUUAAAGCCAUCAGGUACUUCAUGACAGCUUAAGAAAAGAAAAAAAAACCCAAACUAUAGUCUUUUGCUCUACAGUGUGAAAAUAUCCAAGGAAUUAUUUGUCACCAAACUAAUAAAGAUCCCCAUGGGUUUCAAAUACAGCUAAAAUACUACAAUA